AGGGUUCGAUUCUGGCUCAGGAUGAACGCUAGCGGCAGGCCUAAUACAUGCAAGUCGAACGGGAUUGCCUCCUUCGGGAGCAUGAGAGUGGCGCACGGGUGCGCAACGCGUAUGCAACCAACCCCCCGACGGGCGGAUAGCCGGUGGAAACGCCGGAUAAUACGCCAUGGUUCCGUGGGAGGGCAUCCUCACAUGGAUAAAGCCGAGAGGCGGUCGGGGACGGGCAUGCGUCCCAUUAGGUAGUCGGCGGGGUGACGGCCCACCGAGCCCGUGAUGGGUAGGGGAUCUGAGAGGACGGUCCCCCCACACUGGUACUGAGACACGGACCAGACUCCUGCGGGAGGCAGCAGUAAGGGAUAUUGGUCAAUGGUCGGAAGACUGAACCAGCCAUGCCCGCGUGAGGGAAUGAGGCCCUACGGGUCGUGAACCUCUUUUAUUCGGGGACAAGGACUUCCACGAGAUGGGAGUUUGAGGGUACCGAAGGAAUAAGCGUCGGCUAACUCCGUGCCAGCAGCUGC
rnacentral:rRNA from 1 species